ACUUUCUUAAUAUAGCCAGUAUAGAUGACUUCCAAUCAUCCGGCCUUGGUGAAACCCCGAGAGGAAGUA
rnacentral:tRNA from 1 species